rnacentral:tRNA from 1 species
GCGAGCGUGGCGGAACCGGCAGACGCGCCAGGUUUAGGUCCUGGUGUCCGACAGGACGUGGGGGUUCGACUCCCCCCGCUCGCACUA